rnacentral:lncRNA from 1 species
ACUCAGCACAUAGGGGAGAGGCAAAGAAGCCUGGGAUAAUGUUAGAGUCAGGUAUGACCUUGCCAGAGACCGGAUUCCAGUCGUGGGAUUCUCCUGCAUAAAGGCUGGAAGAAAUGAUCUGGGCUGCUGAGCACAGGAAGCAGAAGGUGUGCUUCUGACUCAUAACCCCCUCCGCUCGAGUGUGUCAGAGCAUCUCCUGUGGAGUUGGAGAGAUGCAGCCAGCUGGAGCUUGGGGCUAGGAUAGGAAGCUUUGUCUCCUGUGGUGGGCUUGCUACCCAGGUGCCUUUGAAUCAUAUAGCUCAGGGUUGACUCCUGAGUGUGACAAACAGAGAUAGUAACUUAAAUCUGCCGGCUUGUGGUUCAAAUGAGCCCUGUCUUGUACUUGAAAAGGAGGUUAGGUGAUGGCCUGGAGUUGCCAAAGCAGACACCUCAGUAUAGGAGGAUUCUCAGAGACAGUCUGAUUUGUCCUCUGAGACCCCACGCCACUGUGUCGUGGAAGACAAACUUAGUUUUCUAGUCUCGUUUCCAUCUCAUGUUCCGGAACAGAUUUCUUUGGAUAAUUUUAUCUCUUUUGGAGAAAUGCUGGUCUUUUAGAUGUCCAUGUCUCCCUUUCUUCAUCGGGGUGGCCCCUGGGCAUAUAACAGAGAGGAGCAAGCUUGCUUCCAUACGGUAUUUCCUGAUUACCCUCUAUGUCUGAUGGAAUGUGGCUGGUCAGCUCUCCCUGGACCAGUGACUGUAUGUCCUGGCCGUUGGCAUUCAGCCAGGGUCUGUUCUAAAGCCUAUUGUUGGAUCGCUUGUGGUUCUGAGUCAGAGCCCAGGUUCCUUUUUUCCCUAAUUCCUCUCCUCCUUAACCAAAUCCCAGCCCUGGUUCAGUGGGCUGCUGGGUUUGGCUGGGAUGCUGUAACGCUAUGGAGGUCAGGACCCUAGCAAUGUGUCUGGUAGCCCUUGGCCCCAGUGCCAUCCUGAUGCCACCACAGACUUCCUCUCUGGUAAAUUCUGCAGCCAGACUCAACCAGACUCUGUGCCCCACCCCUGCAGGAGCCCAGAGGAAACUGGGGUUCUUUCCAUACCACACAGGAACUGAGGGAAGCCUGGGAAAGCGAAACCCCGAGUCCUUCCAUUGCCGAGUCACUCUGUGCUCUUCAGUGUGUUCAGAUGUGGCCACUCUCAGAUGGGUGUGGUGAGCCUGUUUCCAUGCAGAAUACCAACCAAGAAAGAAGGAGAAAGGACAUGCAUUGUGGUUAAUUUAUCUGCUAUACCUUCACACUAGGGAAGCCCAGGGCAGACCAAUGUGUCCCUCCAGCUUUGGUCUCCCUCCUACUUUCCGAGGGCCUGGAUAAGAAAUGGGCCAGCAUCCUGCCUCUACAAUGUAUGCUUCUUCUCUCAUCCUAGAGCCUGGCCUCCCUGCCUAGUUGCACAGACAGAGACAGGACUCUGGGCAUGGAAAUAACUCUGGCCUGAGUUCUGCCUACAGGCUUGUUUCUGGUUAUCCAAUUGGGGGAGUGAAAGAAAAUUGGAAAAUCCUGUUUGUCCUUCCACAAAGCCUAGCUAUUACCAUGAUUGUGUCUGUAAAACCCAUUGGCAGGUGAGAGUUUCAAUGUUAAUGUUUGCACACCCACGCUGAAGAAAGCCAAUGACUCUAGGUGAAGACACAGGUCAGUUAGGGAAACAACAGAGCAGAAAAUAUACUCCACCACCACCACCACCAACAACAACAACAACAGCAAUAGCCAGUUUGCCUCCAGACACUCUUCCAUCUAAAAGAACUGGAUUCCUGAGACAGUACUGGAAAGUGCACUAUGGAAAAUCUGACACACUCUUCUAAAGUGUAUGUGGAUACUCGCUUUAUUAUUAUCAUUACUAUGCUUCCAAGAUGCUCAUCUCUCAGAUGUUGGCCUAGGGCAACUUCUGAUGAGUGGUGUUUAGCGUACUGACUCAGAAGGAUGCUUUGAAGCUCCCAGCAGCUUCUCUUCCAGUAAGAAUCUUUCAUGAGUUGUCCCGAAGCAUCUGUCUGUCCCUAAGCAUCUGUCACGGACUACUUUCCAGCACCGGUGGGCAGCUUCAGUGAUUAUUACCAGAUUCUACUCUGUCCUUUUUAUGAUGCUGGUUCCCUUUCUCCCCACCUCCGCCUCCCUGCCAUCAUAACUCCCGUGAAAACCGGCUAUCGUGACCUAGAAAAGGAAUCAGAGAAAUGGGUUCCUGCUUAAGAAAAUGGACAGAUGGGGUCGGUGAGAUGGCUCAGUGGUUAAGAGCACUGACUGCUCUUCUGGAGGUCAUGAGUUCAAAUCCCAACAACUACAUGGUGGCUCACAACCAUCUGUAAUGAGAAACAAAUAAAAUUUAAAAAACAAACAAACAAACAAAAAACAAUAACAACAAAACCCUAGGGGUCAGAGUGAGCAGGGACUGGAGCAAGAGGGAAAAGGGAAGGGGGAGAAGAAAAGAAGAUGGACAGAUGAACACUCCAACUCUACUCCAUGAAGUCUAUUGGUCUUUUCUGUGGAGGAGGUAGGAUUAACAAUGAGACAAUUAGAAAAUAGAAUUAAGCCAAGCUCUUGGAACCUCCUCUAGGAACAGUAAGAAUUCAAAAGGGGGCUGGAGAGAUGGCUUGGUGGUCAAGAGCAUGGAGUGCACUUCCUAAAGUCUGGAGUUUGAUUCCCAGCACCCACUCCAAGAGGCUCACGACUGCCUACAACCCCAGCUCAGAUCUCAUCUCAUCUCUGGUCGUUGUGAGCACCUCCACUCAUGUGGGCACACUCCCGCGCUGAUAUACACAUGAUUUAAAAUGAUAC